UCCCUUGGCAGUCCAGUGGUGAGGACUUGGCACUUUUACUGCCAUGGCCCUGGGUUCAAACCCUGGUCAGGGAG